rnacentral:lncRNA from 1 species
GGAUGGGGAGGGUGACAGGGGGAUGGGGAGGGUGACAGGGGGAUGGGGAGGGUGACAGGGGGAUGUUGAAAGGGGGAUGGGGAGGGUGACAGGGGGAUGUUGACAGGGGGAUGGGGAGGGUGACAGGGGGAUGGGGAGGGUGACAGGGGGAUGAGGAUGGUGACGGGUGUGUUGGAGGGUAGAGGAGUAUGAGGAGCGUAGCCCCCCCGCCCCCCGCCCCGCCUCAAAACCACAACCGAUGCUGCAACCUCAGGGCUUGGAUCAAUACUACAUUCUGGGAAAUAAAGUUCUCUCCUCCUCCUCUCCUAACCUUCCUCUCCAUCCCUCUCUCCUUUACCCCUCCUCCCAGUGGGCUUUUGGGCCCUGCACUUACUCAACUCUUGAGGCUGAGGGAUGGACUCUGCUCUCGCCCCAACCAGCACAGAAGAGAUCUGGGUGUUAGGGAGGGGAGAGGAGUGUCACUGCUUAACAAAGGUGGUCAGAACAAAAUGUAUAGAAUGUGGUUUGACUAUAAAAGGGAUUGCAUUUUUAUUAUUUUUAUAGCGACUUGGGUAUUGGUGAGGAAAUGUUCAAAGUUUGUUUUCAUUUUGUGGACCUGUAAACAUUUCUUUCUGACCAGUCUUCCAUAUACAGACGGUUGUACGGUGACAAGAAGAUAGGCUUGUGUACCGGUAUGGAUGUGAGUGUGUGUAUUGAGUGCAUGGACGUAUUGGUUUGUAUGUAUUUACACGAAGAAGGUAGCGAAACCAACCACCUGCUUUAAUUUGUGAUUUGAAUCUUCUUAUCAGACACAUUUCAGUCUUAUCAUUCCAGCUCUGUUCUAUUUUGUUCCCAUCUGGUUGAGUGACCUGGAACUGGAAUUAAGUAUGGAGGUAGCCUAGUGGUUAGAGCGUUGGGCAAAUAACUGAAAGGUUGCUGGUUCAAAUCCCCAGGCUGACAGGGUGAAACAUCUGUCUGUGCCCUUGAGUAAGACACUAAACCCUACUUUUCUCCAGGGGGACUGUACUACUAUGGCUGACCCAUUAAAACAACACAUUUCACUGUACCUUAUCCAGUGUAUGGGAUGAUGCAACAGUUUUAUUUUUUGUCCUAGCCUCUGUAGAAAGAACCACAUACUGUUCUGGUCUCACAUUGGGAGACAUCUUCACCACUCUCUCUCUCUCUCUCUCUCUCUCUCUCUCUCUCUCUCUCUCUCUCUCUCUCUCUCUCUCUCUCUCUCUCUCUGUGUCUUCUCUCUGUGUCUUCUCUCUCUCUCUCUCUCUCUCUCUCUCUCUCUCUCUGUGUCUUCUCUCUGUGUCUUCUCUCUCUCUCUCUCUCUCUCUGUGUCUUCUCUCUCUCUCUCUCUCUCUCUCUGUGUGUCUUCUCUCUCUCUCUCUGUGUCUUCUCUCUCUCUCUCUCUGUCUUCUCUCUCUCUGUCUUCUCUCUCUCUCUCUCUCUCUCUCUCUGUGUCUUCUCUCUCUCUCUCUGUCUUCUCUCUCUCUCUCUCUCUCUCUGUGUCUUCUCUCUCUCUCUGUCUUCUCUCUCUCUCUCUCUCUCUCUCUCUCUCUCUCUCCGCUCUCUCUCUCUGUGUCUUCUCCCUCUAUCCCUCUACUUUUUUCUGUGUUGCAUUUGUGAGUGAGUGGGUGAGAGAAUAGUGUACUCUAUGCAAACAGAUGUACAGUAUGUAUGUAGGUAUUCUGCAGAAUGGUGAAAGCAGGUGUAAACACAUUACCUUUCAGCAUGCUUCAACACACGUGCUGUUAACUCCUUUAAGAAAACACGGCUUCAAACACACGCACACACACAUACACACACACAGGUUUUAAUAAGAGCCAGUCUGCACACUCCAAGAGAAGAGGGAACGGGGAAGAGAGAGUGAAUGGACGGCUGAAAGAUGACAGGAUGAAAGGUUUUCAGUUAUCUAAUUUCCUGCUUUAGGGUGUUUUUCUUCAAUCAAACCCAGGGUAGCUUUCUGGGUGGCCAACUUCACAUCCCUGCUGUAUAUGUCCAUUGUCCAGUAUGGUGAUCAGAGUAGGGUCAGACCCAGACCACAUAUAGCCAGUUUGAUUAAUGCUGAAAGGUAGCCAACUGACUGAAACUAGAUAUCUGAACUAACUGUCCAAUGACAAACACUAUAGCCCAUCCAUACUGACCAAUAAGAAACCGUCAGCAUUACCGAUCAGUGAUCUAUACAUAACCAAUGAUAAAGCACUCCAUUCCUGCUACAGUAUGACUUAUCAAUAGGCCUACUAGAGCAGCCUAGAGGAGGUCUAGUUAGAUGGUUAGGAGUCUGACCUCUGUGCUUUUUACUUAUUCAUGUAGUUUCCUCACGACAGUCUCUGGCUUAAUGUGCUGUAUGGUAUCCUUAGUCAUUUGAAUGUAUUUAACUUUUAAUUAUGUUUUACUUGGUGAUAGAAGCUCCAUACUGCACAAGCCCAGUGUGCAGCUUCCAAUCAGAUCUCACACACUCCCUCACUGAAUUGUGGGUCAAAAAAAUAUAUAUUUUGUUAGUAUGGCCACUAGUUGUUUUCUUUCCGUCUUUCUCUCUCUCUCUCUCUCUCUCUCUCUCUCUCUCUCUCUCUCUCUCUCUCUCUCUCUCUCUCUCUCUCUCUCUCUCUCUCUCUCUCUCUCUCUCUCUGAUUGAUUAUCAGGCAGGGUUCAUUUUGUGUCGUCUUUCUUCCUCUCUUCUUUGUAAUGUUUGGACUGAAAGGCCUGAUGCCUCCGAAAAUGACUGAGCAGAGUCACUCCUGUGUAAAACAGUCCUUCCACCUGCAGUUGUUGUUAUUUUGAUUUUACUGCUGUUUUCUGCCAGCGACGGCAAGAUUUCUGCUCACAUAUGCAAGCUGAGUGCAUCUGACUGGUUAUACACAUUCAGGUGCCUUAUGCAGUGCCACAUUGAACAAAGUACACACACACACACACACACACACACACACUGACAUUUUAACCACCUGGAUGUGUUAUUGCAUGAAGAGGUUGUAUUUUCAGUGGUGAGUUAUUGCCUUGUUCACUGCCACUGAGAAGAAAAGACACACACGAACAUCUUCAGACUGACAUGCAGAGAUAGGCACUCACACACCUUGAGUGACAGCAUGGCUUUGCAUGAAGGAGUGCAUGUGACUUUGAAGCCUGUGUUUUAUAUUGUUAGAAUUAUGACCAGAAAAAGAUUGAAAAUAUCAGGAGAAAUAUGCUGUUGUGUAUAUCAUUUUAACGGACAAUGUCAUGAUGAUGGCUAUUUGUUAAAUAUGUUGUUUUUAUCCUCCUUUAUUUUGUCUUUUCUCAUUGAAUUAAUUUUGAUCUAGGUUCGAUUGGCAUUAUGCAUUCAUCCAAUGAGCUUUAUUCAUGACUUAUUUUGGGAAAGGGGACAGGGCUUUUUGGGGAUGCGUGAAUCUAAAACUUUGCUCUAGGUUUACAGAUGUAAUAUAUUUAACAUAUCAUUGCUGUAAUAUAUGAUCAUUGCUAUCUAUCAAGUUGCUCUUCCUGUAACUCCUUUUUAGUUGUUGUUGCAUAUUGCUCUUCCAUGUCUGAUUGUUAUGAAAUGGUCCAAUGCUCAAUGUUUUUCCAGCCUUGCAGCAUGUCCCCAACAUUUCUACAUUGUUUAUAUAUGUAAUUUGUAUAAUGCAAGUAACACUAUAACGCUAGCAGAAUGAGACCCACUCCCUGAAGUAGCAGGAACAUUUAAGGAAUGUUUAAAGAAUUUUUAAAGGCCCCGUGGGUGUUCUAAUGCCCUGUGGUCCGUAUGACAUCAUCAUUUCACAAGUGCCUACAUCCUCUCAGGCCUCUGCAUGGUAACAGGGGUAGGAUUGGUUCUCUCUGGAAAUGAAUGUGAUACGUUUAAGGGAUAAUAAUGUCUACCCAUGUCUCUGCAUUUGAUAGUAGUCAUUCAUACACACACACACACACACACACACAGAGGAGGAGGAUAAUGUGUCAGUGCAGUGUGCAAUUAUCCCUAAUCACCACAGCAACUCGCCGUUGUCAUUCCCCAAGCUAGUUGAAGGGACCAGUGAAAAUACACACAUUAUUUCUCUGAAGUCACUCUCCUUAUUUCCCCUGUCCUUUCUUUAUGACAUCUCAUUUGCUACCAGAUAGAUAUAGUAGGGCAGGUGCAUAUUUAUUAAUAGGUUUUAAUCAAAAUAGAAGAAGAAUCAGUGAUUUGUUUUUUAUUAUUUCUAUUUGAAUUAUUAGGUAAUCAACUUGUGCAAUAACAAUUGUUCAUCUCACUUUCUAACCAGAUUUUAAUCUAUGACUUGACAUGAAUGCGAGAACCUUAUUUUUGUAAAGAAAUUUAAAAAUGUAAAACAAUAUAUAUGUAUGUAUAAGAGGGAAACUAAUGAACGCACAGGUGUGCGUGUGUAGACCUAAGGAAGAAGGAUGGUGUGUGUGUGUGUGUGUGGGAUGACACACACACACACUGUCUGUUUGGUCCCAGGCCAUUUCUGGAUUCUGCUGCUUGUACUGUAGCUGUCUGACUCUGGACUGUAUGAUGUGUUAUAGGCCCAUUACGGAAACCCAUUGGGGUCAAACCAGACAGAGCUUAACAAGUCCAGUGCUAUUUUUCACAAGAACAAAUAAAACAAUGUUUUGUAUAUCAGGGAUGAAUAAAGAGAUUUUAACAAAUGGCAGUCUGGAGUCUUGAUCAUCCUAAAAUCUUCCUUUCCCUCGCCCCUCUUUUUCUCUCAUCC